GACGAACGCUGGCGGCGUGCUUAACACAUGCAAGUCGAACGGAAAGGCCCUGCUUUUGUGGGGUGCUCGAGUGGCGAACGGGUGAGUAACACGUGAGUAACCUGCCCUUGACUUUGGGAUAACUUCAGGAAGCUGGGGCUAAUACCGGAUAGGAGCUCCCGCUGCAGGGUGGGGGUUGGAAAGUUUCGGCGGUUGGGGAUGGACUCGCGGCUUAUCAGCUUGUUGGUGGGGUAGUGGCUUACCAAGGCUUUGACGGGUAGCCGGCCUGAGAGGGUGACCGGCCACAUUAGGACUGAGAUACGGCCCAGACUCCUACGGGAGGCAGCAGUGGGGUAUAUUACACAAUGGGCGGGAGCCUGAUGCAGCAACGCCGCGUGCGGGAUGACGGCCUUCGGGUUGUGAACCGCUUUCGCCUGUGACGAAGCGUGAGUGACGGUAAUGGGUGAAGAAGCACCGGCUAACUACGUG
rnacentral:rRNA from 1 species